rnacentral:lncRNA from 1 species
AGUCUGGUUCCGGUUCAGGCACAACAAGGGCUUUUCGUUCUGUGAGUAGGUCUCCCAAGCCCUGCUCCAGAUCAUAACGUUUAAGGACAAAUUUUGACAUUACAUUGACAUUUCAAAUAUUCAGUUAACCUUGAAGACUAUUCCCUUUCUCUUUUUCUUAUUUGUGCUUGCUUUUAUUAAUAAUCUAAUAAUUAUGUGGGUAGCCACUUACAACAGAGUGAUGGCCAAGGCUAAUUAGAUGAGUGCCACUGAGUUUCUCGGUUAAGUCAGGAGCAUUUUGUAGACCGUCCUCUUCCUCUGUAUCUAGGACAGAUGGUCAAGCGUACAGGAGAUCUGGCUCAGGUGAGUCAGGAAAUUUCAGAGUCAAGUCUCUGUUAGAGGCA